AUGAACGCUAGCUACAGGCUUAACACAUGCAAGUCGAGGGGCAGCGGGAUUGAAGCUUGCUUCAAUUGCCGGCGACCGGCGCACGGGUGAGUAACGCGUAUCCAACCUUCCGUACACUCAGGGAUAGCCUUUCGAAAGAAAGAUUAAUACCUGAUGGUAUCUUAAGCACACAUGUAAUUAAGAUUAAAGAUUUAUCGGUGUACGAUGGGGAUGCGUUCCAUUAGGUAGUAGGCGGGGUAACGGCCCACCUAGCCAACGAUGGAUAGGGGUUCUGAGAGGAAGGUCCCCCACAUUGGAACUGAGACACGGUCCAAACUCCUACGGGAGGCAGCAGUGAGGAAUAUUGGUCAAUGGACGAGAGUCUGAACCAGCCAAGUAGCGUGCAGGAUGACGGCCCUAUGGGUUGUAAACUGCUUUUAUAAGGGAAUAAAGUGACGUCUCGUGAGACUUUUUGCAUGUACCUUAUGAAUAAGGUACCGGCUAAUUCCGUG
rnacentral:rRNA from 1 species